GCUGCUUGUUCCACUGUAGACAAUGUUUGCGCAGCUUCAAGUCCACACCUGGUUUUAGACGCCACAAUUGUCAUCGUGGGUACCGCAUAACUGUCGACAGGAACUCUUUCCAGCAUGUAUGUAACGAGUUGCAUGACCUCGAGACUUGAAACGUCACUACUGUUCCUCUACUGUUCGUCUACAAACGAGGGAAAAGCAAACUUCCUAGCUCCCCUCUUCAAUGAGGGCAGCGUGACACAUGGCAUGAAUGCUACUGGUGCAUUUAUGUCUGUUGAAAAAAGUAAGGGACGUUUCAACAGUCGUGCUUGUCUAGUACAAUAGCAACUGCAGCACGAGCAAGGGUUGUAGUGAAGUUGCCAAGUGAAAAGAAAGCACCUAUUUAUUUGGGAGGAUUCUGACUCCAAUCGGUCGUUGAAGCAAAUAACAAGCAUUCAAUGUUUACGGCAAGCAUACCCAUGGAGAAAUGUUGUAAUUCUGUGCUGAACCUAUCCAGUACAAGUGCAAUUCUCAAUACACCAAUUGUCAGCUGAAUAGUACCUGUUAUUGCAGGAAGAAUGGAUCCUUUGAACCAACAAUGAAAAGACCAACCUGAAGCAAAUUAUUCUAAUUCAGGAAACAAAAGUGAGCUCCAAUGAUUUAACAGUUCACCUUGAACAAGCUUGCAAACCAGUUGUGAGCACAUCGUACAUUAACUUGCUGCUUACAUUCAAACUCAUUCCAUGGGAAAAGUCAUUGCUAUGACAGGCAACUAAUUGUUACUCUUAGUUUCUAUGUAUUUGUGUAUCCAUAUCAGCCCUGUAUAUUACAACUGAUUGGUGUACCUAAUUCUUCUUUGAUGACUGAAAUUGAAAUUAUUGGCCAGUGAGGUCAGAGGUCUGUGGAUGUGUGCACUAUCUGGAUGUACUGUACUGUGUACUCAAGCACAAAUGACAAUGAAGCAGUCAACACAGACUUCUUUGAGCCUUCAUCAUCUGUGGAGAUGUUAGGAGGGAAAACAUUGCCCCAGAUGUCAACAGUGAUAUCUGAAUGCAAUGCACAACACCACGGUGGUUAAGACUUCUAGACUUCAGUAC